rnacentral:rRNA from 1 species
AGAGUUUGAUCAUGGCUCAGGAUGAACGCUAGCGGCAGGCUUAAUACAUGCAAGUCGAACGGGAUUUAGGGUAGCAAUACUUUAAUGAGAGUGGCGCACGGGUGCGUAACACGUAUGCAACCUACCUUUAACUGGAAGAUAGCCCCGGGAAAUCGGGAUUAAUAUUUCAUAACAAUGCGCGAUGGCAUCAUCAUGCAUUUAAAGCUCCGGCGGUUAAAGAUGGGCAUGCGGGACAUUAGCUUGUUGGUGAGGUAACGGCUCACCAAGGCGAUGAUGUCUAGGGGUCCUGAGAGGGUUAUCCCCCACACUGGUACUGAGACACGGACCAGACUCCUACGGGAGGCAGCAGUAAGGAAUAUUGGUCAAUGGGCGCAAGCCUGAACCAGCCAUGCCGCGUGCAGGAAGACGGCCCUAUGGGUUGUAAACUGCUUUUGUCAGGGAAUAAACCCCCGUACGUGUACGGGGCUGAAGGUACCUGAAGAAUAAGCAUCGGCUAACUCCGUGCCAGCAGCCGCGGUAAUACGGAGGAUGCAAGCGUUAUCCGGAUUCAUUGGGUUUAAAGGGUGCGCAGGCGGAUUGAUAAGUCAGGGGUGAAAUCCCACAGCUCAACUGUGGAACUGCCUUUGAUACUGUUAGUCUUGAGUAUAGUUGAAGUGGGCGGAAUGUGUCAUGUAGCGGUGAAAUGCUUAGAUAUGACACAGAACACCGAUCGCGAAGGCAGCUCGCUAAGCUAUAACUGACGCUCAUGCACGAAAGCGUGGGGAUCAAACAGGAUUAGAUACCCUGGUAGUCCACGCCGUAAACGAUGAUUACUCGAUGUUGGCGAUAUACAGUCAGCGUCUGAGCGAAAGCAAUAAGUAAUCCACCUGGGGAGUACGAUCGCAAGAUUGAAACUCAAAGGAAUUGACGGGGGCCG